GACGAACGCUGGCGGCGUGCUUAACGCAUGCAAGUCGAACGGUAAGGCCCUUCGGGGUACACGAGUGGCGAACGGGUGAGUAACGCGUGGGUGAUCUGCCCUGCACUUCGGGAUAAGCCUGGGAAACUGGGUCUAACACCGGAUAGGACUCCUGGCUUCAUGGUUGGGGGUGGAAAGCUUUUGCGGUGUGGGAUGGGCCCGCGGCCUAUCAGCUUGUUGGUGGGGUAAUGGCCUACCAAGGCGACGACGGGUAGCCGGCCUGAGAGGGUGACCGGUCACACUGGGACUGAGAUACGGCCCAGACUCCUACGGGAGGCAGCAGUGGGGAAUAUUGCACAAUGGGCGCAAGCCUGAUGCAGCGACGCCGCGUGAGGGAUGACGGCCUUCGGGUUGUAAACCUCUUUCAGCUAUGACGAAGCGCAAGUGACGGUAGUAGCAGAAGAAGGACCGGCCAACUACGUGCCAGCCGCCGCUGUAA
rnacentral:rRNA from 1 species